AUUGAACGCUGGCGGCAGGCCUAACACAUGCAAGUCGAGCGGGGUUUUCGGACCUAGCGGCGGACGGGUGAGUAAUGCGUAGGAAGCUACCCGAUAGAGGGGGAUACCAGUUGGAAACGACUGUUAAUACCGCAUAAUGUCUACGGACCAAAGUGUGGGACCUUCGGGCCACAUGCUAUCGGAUGCGCCUACGUGGGAUUAGCUAGUUGGUGAGGUAAUGGCUCACCAAGGCGACGAUCCCUAGCUGGUUUGAGAGGAUGAUCAGCCACACUGGAACUGAGACACGGUCCAGACUCCUACGGGAGGCAGCAGUGGGGAAUAUUGGACAAUGGGCGCAAGCCUGAUCCAGCCAUGCCGCGUGUGUGAAGAAGACCUUCGGGUUGUAAAGCACUUUCAGUAGGGAGGAAGGGUUAAGUGUUAAUAGUACUUAACUUUGACGUUACCUACAGAAGAAGCACCGGCUAUCUCUGUGCCAGCCGCCGCGGUAAUAC
rnacentral:rRNA from 1 species